UGACGUGUUUACAUUUUUUUUUUCGUUUAUUUUUUCUUUAUCCAUCGAUGGUGUAGUAUAUUCAUAGAGCUUUUAGUACGCAUAUAGAAACCAGAUGUUUCGUUUACUCUUCACAAAGAAUAGGAAUAAUUUUAAAGUGCUUACAAGUUAUUUAUAAUCACGUGAUGCCAAUUUUCAAUCGUUGUUUACCAUUUUCCAGUCAUUGCAUCAUCUUAGAUACGCUUUAGGACAUGGUUUCUUUAACUAGGUGCCUAGGUUAGGUAACGUAAGUACCUACCUGUUUAUCUAUAGAAUUAAAGCAGACAUCAAGUACUUUGCUGGCAUGCAAAAGAUUUUAAAAUAAAGGUAAACAACAAGAUGCAAAACUGCCCAUAAUUCACUUUGCCAAGUUUUUAUUUGUUUCACUUUACUUAAUUAAAGUUUUUCACUUGUUUUCGAAGUAAAGUUUUAACGCAAAGAAAUCACUUAAAGUAGAAACAACUGCAACCAAAGAAACAAAAGUCAAAUAUUUUGCAGACGCUAUGUGGAAAAGGAUGCUUCUGAUUUCUAACGCCAAUGAUUUAGCAACUAGCUAAAUUGACAAAAGUUUUCUUUAAUAUUAUUGAUAUAACAUCGCUAUAAUAUCAUGCAACUCGAACAUAGCUAGGUAUAGGUAGGCAUUUUUAUCCAUAACAACUCUUACGAGACAAGAUAAAGUAAAUGUGAAUCUAGUUUGA